rnacentral:rRNA from 1 species
GACGAACGCUGGCGGCGUGCUUAACACAUGCAAGUCGAACGGAAAGGCCCUGCUUUUGUGGGGUGCUCGAGUGGCGAACGGGUGAGUAACACGUGAGUAACCUGCCCUUGACUUUGGGAUAACUUCAGGAAACUGGGGCUAAUACCGGAUAGGAGCUCCUGCUGCAUGGUGGGGGUUGGAAAGUUUCGGCGGUUGGGGAUGGACUCGCGGCUUAUCCGCUUGUUGGUGAGGUAGUGGCUUACCAAGGCUUUGACGGGUAGCCGGCCUGAGAGGGUGACCGGCCACAUUGGGACUGAGAUACGGCCCAGACUCCUACGGGAGGCAGCAGUGGGGAAUAUUGCACAAUGGGCGGAAGCCUGAUGCAGCAACGCCGCGUGCGGGAUGACGGCCUUCGGGUUGUAAACCGCUUUCGCCUGUGACGAAGCGUGAGUGACGGUAAUGGGUAAAGAAGCACCGGCUAACUACGUG